UGAGAGUGGACAUCUGUGCACGGGGCUCGGAGGAGUGUGGGCGAGAGGCGGUCGGGCCAGGGCAGGCUAAGCCAGAGGCUUUGCUUUCUUCCUGGGCUUCCCACAUCUGCUGAGGCUGCCCUUGACUUCUGCUACGAUGGAGGUCUUCUUAACCACCUCUGUGCGUGGACCGCUGAGGGGAGCCAAUGGACCCCUUCUCAGGGUAAGGUAAGUGCAUAUGAUAAAAUACAGAGGACUUAAAAAACGACAAUGAUAUUAGAAUAAACUUAUCCGGAUAUUGUAAAAACUGGGGCGCCUGGGUGGCUCAGUCGGUUAAGCGUCCGACUUCGGCUCAGGUCACGAUCUCGCGGUCCGUGAGUUCGAGCCCCGUGUCGGGCUCUGGGCUGACGGCUCAGAGCCUGGAGCCUGCUUCCCAUUCUGUGUCUCCCUCUCUCUCUGCCCCUCCCCCGUUCAUGCUCUGUCUCAAAAAUAAAUAAACGUUAAAAAAAAAAAAAAGAAUAUCGUAAAAACCGAUUUUGUGUCAUAGUUCCAUAGGUGGUUCUUUUCCGAUGCUUUGAUAGUAAGACUGGGCAAGAGUAAUCUAUUUCUAUACAUGUCUAAUAAAGAUCAUAACAUCAAAGCAGUGAUGAGCAUAAAUGAUAUUUCAAGAGGUCUGUGACAACUAUAAUAUGAUGUAAAAAAUAUCUGCGCUUUUGCUUGGCUUCAAAGUACUACUAAUAUAACUGAGGCAUGUCGCCUAUGAUAUCAUUUUUCUCAUCUAAGUUCAUGGACUCCCCCAAAUUCUAUCUACACAUCACUUGGGGGGCCAGAGACCCCAGAUUAAGAACUCCUAGGGGCGCCUGGGUGGCUCGGUCAGUGAAGCAUCUGACUUUGGCUCAGGUCAUGAUCUCACGGUUCGUGGGUUCAAGCCCCGCGUCGGGCUCUGUGCUGACAGCUCAGAACCCGGGACCUGCUUCGGAUUCUGUGUGUGUCUCUCUCUUCCUGCCCCUCCCUUGCUCAUACACUCUCUCUCUCUCUCAAAAAUAAACAUUAAAAAUUUUUUUGAAAUAAAAGAACUCCUAUUUAUUAUUCUGUUGGUAGUUGAAAGAAGCGAGCUCAACCCUGGAGCCAGGAGCUGGAUUUUACAGCCCAGCUGCUCUCCUCCCCACCACCAGCCCAUCCCCCNNNNNNNNCCCCCCCCCCCCCCCCCCCCCCCCCCCCCCCCGCCCCGAACUCCUCGGCAUCUGCAGGCUGGUGAUCAGCCACAGUGGUCUUCCGGCAAGCCUCAACACAUGACCUGUGACCGAUAAUUACUUGUCCAUCCAUCCAUCCAUCCACGCAUGCAUGCAUCCAUUCAGGCAUCACUCACCAAAUGUUUAUAGACCUGGGCUCUGGGCUGAUAUCUCAAGAGGUCUCCAGGCUGAUGGAUGAGGAGACGCAUAAAUAAACAACAAUAUAAUAUUAGUGCUAAUAAGAGGUAUGAACAAAGAGAGGCAGACACAAAGUCAGAGGCUGGGAGGGCAUCCCAGACAGAGCCAAUGUCAUGUGCAGUGCCCUAAAGGCAAGAAAAGGUGGGGCACGUCCGAGAAACUGUGUGGCAACAAGGUGGGGAAGGAAUGAGACAUGAAUCUAGGGUGGUGGUCACAGGUAUGGAUUUCAUCAGCCACUGACAUCUCCAAACAAGACAAUGACAUGAUUAGCUCUACAGAGGCAGGGAUAUGUUUUGGAGAGGGGAAAGAUUAGAGGCAGGAAGGUCAGUUAGGAGUUUCUGGAACAAGCCCAGCAUGAGGUGAUGAGACUGAGAUCAGGUACUAGCCAGUGGCUGUGGAAAGAGACCAGGCAUAAGAGACAUUUCUUCUUACACAGAACAGACUGGAACUGAUGACCAAUGGGGUGUGGGGAGUGAGGACGACUUCUGGCUCUUCGAAUUGGAAACUGGGGGUCUGUUCAUGCACUAAUCCAGAUUGGGGACCUGGGGACAGAGUGGGGAAGGCAAGGAGAUGACGAGUUUGACUUUGAGUUUGCUAAGUUAUUCGAGUUCCUGGAGCACACCAUGGUGCCUUGUCAGUUAGGGAGCUGCCCCCGUGGAGUGGGUAGGUGAGAAUCAGUCCUGUGUUCGACUUUUCUUUCCUCAGAGAAGGGAAAAAAAAGCCCCAGAAUGCAACGGGCCCUUCCCAGACAUGCCUCUCAAUAUCGCGUGGGGGCUGCGAUGGUUACAUCGAGAGUCUGUUGGGUAAGACACUGAGCAUGAGCACGUCACGGGGUGAGGUGUGGAAUAGCGGACAACUCAGCUGCGAGUUCGAGGUCAGGGCGGGCCAAGCAGAAUGUACGAGUUUCCUAUGGCUGUUCUGACAAAGACUGGAGGCCUUAACGAGAGAAUUUAUUGACUCACGGUGCUGGAGGCCAGAAGUCCCAACUCAAGGUGUUGGGAGAGCUGGCUGUUCCUUCUAAGGGCUGCGAGGGAGGGGUGUGUCCCAUACCCCUCCCCUCGGCUUGUAGAAGGCCAUCUCCUUCCUAUGCCUCUUCACACCUGUCUUCCCCCUGUAUGUGUCUUUGUGUCCGAAGUUGUCCUUUGCAUAAGGCCAGAUUGCGUUAGGGCCCCUUCCCCAAUGACCUCAUUUUAACUUGAGUGGGCUAUAGAGUUUCCUCUCCAAAUAAGGUCACAUUCUGAAGUACUGGGAUUGAGGACUUUAGCGUGUGACUUCUGGAGGGUGGGGGGUACGUAAGUCAUCCCGUAACACAGAAUGCAAAGCCAGGGCAGAAGAAAGAUCCUGUGGGACCGGCCUCAGAGCAUGUCAGAGAGCAGUCAGGGCCGUGAAGAGUUCUGCUUAAACAUCUCCCCAGGGCUGGGGCUGAGGACGACCAGGUAGACGGUGUGGCAAGCGGGAGCCAUGAAAGGCGUGGGAGCAGGGGGAGAAGUCACUCGUAUCUGUGCUUCGGGAAGAUCUCGUGAGGAGAAGCGAGCAGCCGUGUGACCACCAUGAGCCAGCCCCUCCUCCCCUGCCCCCUCCCCCAGGGGACUCUGAACCUUCUGAUACCUCUUGCCGGGAGCACAAAUCCAGACCGUAGCACAGGGACAAAGGGACAAACAGAUCUGCCCCGGCGGGGACCUGAGUGUUUCCAGAGAAGUCCCCUAGGCCCCGCUCUUUGUCAGAACAGGCAGGAUCCCAGGGAUUAGAAGGAGCGGUGGCCCCGCUGGGUUAAGCGAGCGUUAACCCCUGUGAUAGGCCCUGAGCUCUCUCGCUGAUCUCCUAACCUGAAGGCUCCUGAAACACCGGACGAUUAAUGGCAGAUCACUUAAAACCAGUUCAGUUCACUCUUGGAGAUUAAUGUCAGCCCUGCCCUCCGGAAGCCUCCGGAGCCAACCAGUGCUGCAUUGCCCGGGUUUUCUGGAAGCAGAGAGGAGUGCAGCAGUGCUCCCUCGGGGGCCUCUGGCUGCUGCUGGGUGUCCUUUGCGGGCCUUCCUCGGAGGGGUUACUGGUUCUGUGUUGCUGCAGGUUAAGGGUCCGUCCCCAGGGAGGGCGUCCUCUGGGUUAGGCAGACUUGGCUGUUCCUGGAGGGGGGGGAAGGGGGGGGUGGCUGUCCCCCGACAUCCGAGGACUUGGACAACGCUGGGCUCUACACUUCACGACCAGCAAGAGCUUUUCUGGCUUUAGAUUCAGGGUGGCCCUGCCAACCCGUUCUCUCUCUCUCUCUCUCUCUCUUUUUAAAGUUUAUUAAAUUAUCUUGAAUGAGAGAGAGAGAGCCGGAGGGGCAGACAGAGAGGGAGAGAGAGAGAAUCCCAGGCAGGCUCUGCACUGUCAGCACAGAGCCGGAAGCGGGGCUCAAACUCACAGUGAGAUCAUGACCUGAGCGGAAACCAAGAGUCGGAAGCUUCACCGACUGAGCCCCCGCAGGUGCCCCGGUUCUCUCUUUUUGGGUCUCUGUGUCUCUCUUACGGCCCCUGUCUCUGGGGCUCUGCCCCUCUUUCUGAGUCUGCCCUCGUUGUGUUUGUCUUUCCUGCCUCUCCCUUUGCAUUAAGUUCUCGGUCACUCUGUGUGUGUCUCUCUCUGUGUCCCAGCCCUCUUUCUGUCUGCCUUUCCAUGUCCUUCUGUCUGUCUGCUUCCCCUUCAUCUCCAGGCCUCUGUGUCUGUGUCCACGUUUGCCUCUGGAUCUCUUUGUCAGCGUAUCUCAAAGCGCCGGGUUUUCCUCUGGUCUUUGGUGGCUGUGGUGGUGACAUUAGCUGGGAAACCUAAAGUCAAUCUCGAAGAUUCACACCUACAUUAGCAUGUCAGAAGCACAGACCCACCGGCAGGAAACAGCCUUUCUUGUUCCUGUCCUCCCCUUCGCUUUCCACCUGACUCGUUUGACAACGGAACCAUUUUACCUCCGAACACCUACCAACAUCCUGCGGAAUAAUCUCAGGUUUCUGCUCUGCGCUCUUGGCCCUGCUCCCUGUUUGUCUUUCCAGCUCCCUCUCUGUCUUUUCUCUCUGUGUCUCUGAGUCUCUGUCUCCUACAUUCCUGAGUCCUCACCCUCCCCUUUGUGUAGCUCUCUCUCUGGGUUGGCCAGCCCAGGGCUGGCUGUAGGUCUCAGGUUUUUUUCCCCCUCUUCCUCUGUUCGCUGACUGGCUCUCUGUAUUUCCGUGUGUGUGUGUGUGUGUGUGUGUGUGUGUGUGUGUCUCCUGUUUCUGCUAUGCCCCGGGUCAGCCUCGGCCUGAGGUCCAGGAUGGGUGGGGGUUCCUUGGCCUUUCUCAGGAGCCUGGGUGCUGGGAUGGCGAGUGGUGAGCAAUGUGGGUCAGAGUGAGGCUGAGUGAGGGCCCUUUUCCACCACAGGAGGAAGGGAACCAGGGGAUCACAAUGCCACGGCCCCUGAGUGUGUUCCAAGUCCCGGGCGGCAGGUGUGGGUGGAGGGGCACGGGUUAGCCUGCUGCAGGCCUGGUGGGGGUGGGGGGGUGGGGGGACGUGCUUGAGCCCCACAGACUUCCACUGCCCCUGCCUGAGAUCAGCCCGGGGCCACAUGGGCCGAGGACUAAUAUGAAGUAAAUACAGAGGGGAGAGGAGUGAAAAGAGGCUUGAGGAAGCACAUUGCUGCUCUUUCCUCCUGAUCCCAGUUCUCCCUCCUCUCUCUGCUUGCCCUGCAACUCGGCUCCUUAGCUCGAGCCUGCAGCCUCCUUCCUCUCUGUUGGCCUUUCGAGCAAGCUGUUACCUGUUUCUGCUGCGUGAGCGGGUCCUAAGAGGAAGGCCUGACGUGCGUCGGAUGCUUCGGACCUGAGAUGUCACCAAGAACUUUUGCACGUGCUGGGGCAACCACCCAGUGAGAGAGCAGCCCCGUUCCCGUUUCGUGGAUGAGGAGGCCAGAGAGGGUGAGUGAGUUGCCCAGCAUCACACAGCAAAGAAGCGAAGCUCAAGUCAGCCAAUGCAAGUCCACCUUUCGACCCCUCCCCCACCCCCACCCCCACGGCCUCCAUGGACUCCUCCGGAGGGGUCGGGUCUUUCCCAGAAACAAGCCAGUUCCCUCACCCUCCUGCUGGCUCUGGCCAUCUUGGCAGUGCGGCUUGGGGCAGGACAGCACCCCGGCUGACACCAGACCCCUCGGGCUUCGCGGGCUCACCCCGCCCAGGCCUGCUGAACCCCGAGCCACACUGGGGGGGGGGGUUGGGGCCCUGGGGUGGGGAGUCUGCACCCCGACCCCGGCAGGUCCUUUGCUGAUCUGUCUUCUUUUCUUCUAACCUCGGCUCUACGGUGCCAGGAGGAGCUGCAAAGAGGGAGCUGGCGCUGAUACAAAUUAUUUUGGAUUCCGGAACACUGACCGUCAGCGACUUUGGCAGCAGGUGAAUUUCCAGUCUUGUCUUACAUAAGGAAACACCAAGUUCACGUUUCCAAACAUACGAGAAAACCAUUCCUCCGCGGUGACCCGCCAUCAGAAGGGCGACAUGAGGACACGUGGUGGAGCAGGGCUGAGCAGGGAGGGGGCUCGGG
rnacentral:lncRNA from 1 species